GCUAUAAAGCUAGCUUAACCACCAAAACCAACCCAACAACAUUCAACAAUUUUACUAAACCCAAACAUCACAAACUAAAACAUUCUCCUGCCUUAGUACGGGCGACAGAAAAGGCAAUAAACCAAAGCAAUAGAGAAAGUACCGCAAGGGAAAGCUGAAAGAGAAAUGAAACAACCCAUUAAAGCCAAAAAAAGCAGAGACUAACCCUCGUACCUUUUGCAUCAUGAUUUAGCCAGCAGCCGUUGAGCAAAGAGAACUUUAGUUCAGACCCCCGAAACCAAGUGAGCUACCUCGAGACAGCCUAUUACAGGGCCAACCCGUCUCUGUGGCAAAAGAGUGGGAAGAUCUCCAGGUAGAGGUGACAGACCUACCGAACUUGGUGAUAGCUGGUUGCCUAGGAAAUGGAUAGAAGUUCAGCCUCGUACUCCCCAGCUCACACAAGCACCAGCACGCCAUGAGACCGAGAAACACACGAGAGUUAGUCAAAGAGGGUACAGCCCCUUUGAUCAAGGACACAACCUUACUACAGGAGGUUAAGGAUCAUAUUAAAUAAGAUUACCGCUUCAGUGGGCCUAAAAGCAGCCACCUGGUCAGAAAGCGUUAAAGCUCAGGCAGAUUACAAAUCUAUUAUCCCGAUACUCCCAUCCUAAACCCCUCCAAAAUACUAGGCCACUCCAUGCCAACAUGGAGGAGACCCUGCUAAAAUGAGUAACAAGAAGGAAACCUCCUUCUCCUCGGCCUACGUGUAAGUUAGAUCGGACAACCCACUAACAAUUAACGAACCCACCCCAAGAGGGAAAAAUGAUAUAUAAUAAAACCAAGAAAAACCCACCUAACCCAUCGUUAACCCCACACCGGAAGGCCCCCAACAAGGAAAGACUAAAAGAAAAGGAAGGAACUCGGCAAACACAAGCCUCGCCUGUUUACCAAAAACAUCGCCUCCCGCAAAAACCAAUAUAUGGGAGGUCUUACCUGCCCAGUGACAACUAGUUAAACGGCCGCGGUAUUUUGACCGUGCUAAGGUAGCGCAAUCACUUGUCUUUUAAAUGAAGACCUGUAUGAAUGGUGGAACGAGGGCUUAACUGUCUCCCUUUUUAGGUCAGUGAAAUUGAUCUGCCCGUGCAGAAGCGGGCAUAAACAUACAAGACGAGAAGACCCUUUGGAGCUUAAGACAUAAAGCCAACUGUGUCAAAAACCCAAAUCAAAAAGAAGCUAAACAAAACAGCAAAACUGGCUGACGUCUUCGGUUGGGGCGACCGCGGGGUAAAACAAAACCCCCACGUGGAAUGGGAAAACUCCUAAUACCAAGAGAGACAUCUCUAAGUCACAGAACAUCUGACCAAAUGAUCCGGCCACAUAGACCGAUCAACGGACCAAGUUACCCUAGGGAUAACAGCGCAAUCCCCUCCAAGAGUUCAUAUCGACAAGGGGGUUUACGACCUCGAUGUUGGAUCAGGACAUCCUAAUGGUGCAGCCGCUAUUAAGGGUUCGUUUGUUCAACGAUUAAAGUCCUACGUGAUCUGAGUUCAGACCGGAGCAAUCCAGGUCAGUUUCUAUCUGUAUCAAGCCAUUUUUCCUAGUACGAAAGGACCGGAAAAAUAAGGUCCAUGCCAAAAGCACACCUUACUCCAAUUUGAUGAAAUCAACUCAACCAAACAAAAGAAAAGCACCAAACCCACCCAAGAUAAGGGACU
rnacentral:rRNA from 1 species